GAUGAAGAACGUAGCGAAAUGCGAUAAGUAAUGUGAAUUGCAGAAUUCAGUGAAUCAUCGAAUCUUUGAACGCACAUUGCGCCCGCCGGUAUUCUGGCGGGCAUGCCUGUUCGAGCGUCAUUUCAACCAUCAAGCCCCCGGCUUGUGUUGGGGACCUGCGGCUGCCGCAGGCCCUGAAAAGCAGUGGCGGGCUCGCUGUCACACCGAGCGUAGUAGCAUACAUCUCGCUCUGGGCGUGCUGCGGGUUCCGGCCGUUAAACCACCUUCAUAACCCAAGGUUGACCUCGGAUCAGGUAGGAAGACCCGCUGAACUUAAGCAUAUCAAUAAGCGGAGGA
rnacentral:misc_RNA from 1 species